CCUACAGGAGGCUGCAGUGAGGAAUAUUGGUCAAUGGACGCAAGUCUGAACCAGCCAUGUCGCGUGCAGGAAGACGGCUCUAUGAGUUGUAAACUGCUUUUGUACGAGGAUAAACGCAGAUACGCGUAUAUGUCUGCAUGUAUCGUACGAAUAAGCAUCGGCUAACUCCGUGCCAGCAGCCGCGGUAAUACGGAGGAUUCAAGCGUUAUCCGGAUUUAUUGGGUUUAAAGGGUGCGUAGGUGGUCGUAUAAGUUAGAGGUGAAAUCCCGAGGCUCAACCUCAGAAUUGCCUCUGAUACUGGUAGACUAGAGAGUAGUUGCGGUAGGCGGAAUGUAUGGUGUAGCGGUGAAAUGCAUAGAGAUCAUACAGAACACCGAUUGCGAAGGCAGCUUACCAAGCUACUUCUGACAUUGAAGCACGAAAGCGUGGGGAUCAAACAGGAUUAGAUACCCGGGUAGUC
rnacentral:rRNA from 1 species